rfam:Brachypodium distachyon strain Bd21 chromosome 4, whole genome shotgun sequence.
GUAGUACUCCAUCCGUUCCAUAAUUCUUGUCUCAAAUUUGCUUAAAAAAUGAAUGUAUCUAUUCCUAAAAAGUGUCUAGAUGCAUGUAAUAUUUUGACAAGAAUUAUGGAACGGAGGAAGUACUAU